UCCGUUAUGGUAUAGUGGCUACCAUUAUCGCCUCUUAUCCAGUUCGUAUCUUGAAAUAUGAGCGCGAUAGCCCAGGGUUCGAUACCCUGUAACGGAA